ACAGAAGAAAAAAUCAUAACAAAAUGAAAUCAUGUUAGCAAUGCAAAACAAUAAAAGAUGUUCAAAUUUCUGAAAGAAGGGAGCUGCUCGUCACUGAUGCAGCUGACCAUAUGUGAUAGGACUUGGGGCUAAACUAGGGCUGAUUUUUAAACAUAAGUUUUCAUUGGUCUAACAAUGUGCUCCUAUAAAUUUCAAAAUUGUCAGCAUCCAGCAGGAAAGGUCAGAAAAGGUGACGAGAUUUUUCCUUUCCAAGGUUUCUAACACAGUAUGAAUGACAAUUUCUGCCAGCCUAAUCAAUCAUUUCUACAGCAUAACAAAUCAUCUUGAAAGAAAUCUGAAUGUUCAAAUAAAUAAAUAUGAAGACAUUAUCACCC
rnacentral:lncRNA from 1 species